rnacentral:snRNA from 1 species
AUACUCUGGUUUCUCUUCAAAUCGUAUAAAUCUUUCGCCUUUUACUAAAGAUUUCCCUAUUUUACAGAUGGGGAAACUGAGCACAGAGAGGUUAAAGUGACUUGUCCAAGGUCCCCCAGCAGGCCACUAGGAGAAAUUGGGACU